rnacentral:rRNA from 1 species
CAGCCGCCACGGUAAUACGAAGGGGGCUAGCGUUGUUCGGAAUUACUGGGCGUAAAGCGCACGUAGGCGGAUCGAUCAGUCAGGGGUGAAAUCCCAGGGCUCAACCCUGGAACUGCCUUUGAUACUGUCGAUCUGGAGUAUGGAAGAGGUGAGUGGAAUUCCGAGUGUAGAGGUGAAAUUCGUAGAUAUUCGGAGGAACACCAGUGGCGAAGGCGGCUCACUGGUCCAUUACUGACGCUGAGGUGCGAAAGCGUGGGGAGCAAACAGGAUUAGAUACCCGAGUAGUCCCUGUCUCUUAUAC